UGAGCAAUCUGCCCUUCUCAUCGGAAUAACCAUUGGAAACGACGUCUAAUGCCGAAUACGACCUCCUUUCGCAUGAUCGGAGGUGGAAAGCUCCGGCGGAGAAGGAUGAGCUCGCGGCCUAUCAGCUAGUUGGUGUGGGUAAUGGCCCACCAAGGCGACGACGGG
rnacentral:rRNA from 1 species